rnacentral:rRNA from 1 species
AGUGAACGCUGGCGGUAGGCCUAACACAUGCAAGUCGAACGGCAGCACAGAGGAGCUUGCUCCUUGGGUGGCGAGUGGCGGACGGGUGAGGAAUACAUCGGAAUCUACUCUGUCGUGGGGGAUAACGUAGGGAAACUUACGCUAAUACCGCAUACGACCUACGGGUGAAAGCAGGGGAUCUUCGGACCUUGCGCGAUUGAAUGAGCCGAUGUCGGAUUAGCUAGUUGGCGGGGUAAAGGCCCACCAAGGCGACGAUCCGUAGCUGGUCUGAGAGGAUGGUCAGCCACACUGGAACUGAGACACGGUCCAGACUCCUACGGGAGGCAGCAGUGGGGAAUAUUGGGCAAUGGGCGCAAGCCUGAUCCAGCCAUACCGCGUGGGUGAAGAAGGCCUUCGGGUUGUAAAGCCCUUUUGUUGGGAAAGAAAUCCAGCUGGCUAAUACCCGGUUGGGAUGACGGUACCCAAAGAAUAAGCACCGGCUAACUUCGUGCCAGCCGCCGCCGUAA